AGUGAACGCUGGCGGUAGGCCUAACACAUGCAAGUCGAACGGCAGCACAGUAAGAGCUUGCUCUUACGGGUGGCGAGUGGCGGACGGGUGAGGAAUACAUCGGAAUCUACUUUUUCGUGGGGGAUAACGUAGGGAAACUUACGCUAAUACCGCAUACGACCUACGGGUGAAAGCAGGGGAUCUUCGGACCUUGCGCGAUUGAAUGAGCCGAUGUCGGAUUAGCUAGUUGGCGGGGUAAAGGCCCACCAAGGCGACGAUCCGUAGCUGGUCUGAGAGGAUGAUCAGCCACACUGAAACUGAGACACGGUACAGACUCCGACGGGAGGCAGCAGUGGGGAAUAUUGGACAAUGGGCGCAAGCCUGAUCCAGCCAUACCGCGUGGGUGAAGAAGGCCUUCGGGUUGUAAAGCCCUUUUGUUGGGAAAGAAAAGCAGCAGGUUAAUACCCCGCUGUUCGGACGGUACCCAAAGAAUAAGCACCGGCGAACUUCGU
rnacentral:rRNA from 1 species